rnacentral:piRNA from 1 species
UGAAAUUUUAUUAUUUAAAAA